rnacentral:rRNA from 1 species
GAUGAACGCUCGCGAUAGGCUUAACACAUGCAAGUCGAGGGGCAGCGUGGUCUUAGCUUGCUAAGACUGAUGGCGACCGGCGCACGGGUGCGUAACGCGUAUGCAACUUGCCUCACAGAGGGGGAUAACCCGUCGAAAGACGGACUAAUACCGCGUACACUCCAUCUUGGGCAUCCAAGGUAGAGGAAAUGAAAUUCGCUGUGAGAUAGGCAUGCGUCCCGUUAGCUAGUUGGUGAGGUAACGGCUCACCAAGGCGACGAUGGGUAGGGGAACUGAGAGGUUGAACCCCCACACUGGUACUGAGACACGGACCAGACUCCUACGGGAGGCAGCAGUGAGGAAUAUUGGUCAAUGGGCGAGAGCCUGAACCAGCCAAGUCGCGUGAAGGAUGACUGUCUUAUGGAUUGUAAACUUCUUUUAUACGGGAAUAACAAGAGUCACGUGUGACUCCCUGCAUGUACCGUAUGAAUAAGCAUCGGCUAACUCCGUG